AUUGAACGCUGGCGGCAUGCCUUACACAUGCAAGUCGAACGGCAGCGCGGGGCAACCUGGCGGCGAGUGGCGAACGGGUGAGUAAUAUAUCGGAACAUACCCUAGAGUGGGGGAUAACGUAGCGAAAGUUACGCUAAUACCGCAUACGCACUAAGGUGGAAAGUGGGGGAUCUUCGGACCUCAUGCUCAUGGAGUGGCCGAUAUCUGAUUAGCUAGUUGGUGAGGUAAAGGCUCAUCAAGGCGACGAUCAGUAGCUGGUUUGAGAGAACGACCAGCCACACUGGAACUGAGACACGGUCCAGACUCCUACGGGAGGCAGCAGUGGGGAAUUUUGGGACAAUGGGGGCAACCCUGAUCCAGCAAUGCCGCGUGAGUGAAGAAGGCCUCGG
rnacentral:rRNA from 1 species